rnacentral:rRNA from 1 species
AAAAGGGACUUGUAUGAACGGUUAAAUGAGGGUCUGCCUGUUUCCUAUGGCCCAUCAAUGAACCUAAUCUCUUAGUACAAAAGCUAAGAUUUACACAUAAGACGAGAAGACCCUGUGGAGCUUAAAGCAGUCUAAUAUCCCCACAUAUUCAUGACACUUUUAGUUGGGGCGACUAUGGAACAAAACAAAACUUCCACGCACCAGAACACCCUUCGCACACAGCACCCACGCCCCCGUGACCCUUCUACCCCCGCGACCCAGUCUAACUGACCAUCGAACCAAGUUACCCCAGGGAUAACAGCGCCAUCCUCUUCAAGAGCCCCUAUCGCCAAGAGGGUUUACGACCUCGAUGUUGGAUCAGGGCCCCCCAGUGGUGCAGCCACUACUAAUGGUUCGUUUGUUCAACGAUUAAUGCCCUACGU